AUUGAACGCUGGCGGCAUGCUUUACACAUGCAAGUCGAACGGUAACAGGCCUUCGGGUGCUGACGAGUGGCGAACGGGUGAGUAAUGCAUCGGAACGUGCCCAGUAGUGGGGGAUAGCCCGGCGAAAGCCGGAUUAAUACCGCAUACGACCUACGGGUGAAAGCGGGGGACCGUAAGGCCUCGCGCUAUUGGAGCGGCCGAUGUCAGAUUAGGUAGUUGGUGGGGUAAAGGCCUACCAAGCCUACGAUCUGUAGCUGGUCUGAGAGGACGACCAGCCACACUGGGACUGAGACACGGCCCAGACUCCUACGGGAGGCAGCAGUGGGGAAUUUUGGACAAUGGGCGCAAGCCUGAUCCAGCCAUGCCGCGUGCGGGAAGAAGGCCUUCGGGUUGUAAACCGCUUUUGUCAGGGAAGAAACGCCUUAGGAUAAUACCUUGAGGUAAUGACGGUACCUGAAGAAUAAGCACCGGCUAACUACGUG
rnacentral:rRNA from 1 species